CUUUCUUUCAGACGCAGAAGGAUAAAAUCCAGGGCAGAAUCCAUCCACCCAUCCCGAGUGAGGAGGUUCCCCCGAGCAGGAAGUAAAGCUGGACAUCAGCAGUCAAGGUGUCACCAGGGUAGCCUUCAGCAAUGGCCGAGGAGUUGCGGUGAGUCAGGGAAGUAGGGA